AAGGGGAUAGCCUUUGGAAACGAAGAAUAAUACCCUAUAAAACCAUAAAAGCACAUGCUAGAAUGGUCAAAGUGAUAGCGGUGUAAGAUGGACUUGCGUCUGAUUAGCUAGUUGGUGAGAUAAAAGCUCACCAAGGCAACGAUCAGUAGCCGGCUUGAGAGAGUGUACGGCCACAUUGGGACUAAGACACGGCCCAG
rnacentral:rRNA from 1 species